rnacentral:rRNA from 1 species
ACGCUGGCGGCAGGCCUAACACAUGCAAGUCGAGCGGUAGAGAGAAGCUUGCUUCUCUUGAGAGCGGCGGACGGGUGAGUAAUGCCUAGGAAUCUGCCUGGUAGUGGGGGAUAACGUUCGGGAACGGACGCUAAUACCGCAUACGUCCUACGGGAGAAAGCAGGGGACCUACGGGCCUUGCGCUAUCAGAUGAGCCUAGGUCGGAUUAGCUAGUUGGUGAGGUAAUGGCUCACCAAGGCGACGAUCCGUAACUGGUCUGAGAGGAUGAUCAGUCACACUGGAACUGAGACACGGUCCAGACUCCUACGGGAGGCAGCAGUGGGGAAUAUUGGACAAUGGGCGAAAGCCUGAUCCAGCCAUGCCGCGUGUGUGAAGAAGGUCUUCGGAUUGUAAAGCACUUUAAGUUGGGAGGAAGGGCAUUAACCUAAUACGUUAGUGUUUUGACGUUACCGACAGAAUAAGCACCGGCUAACUCUGUGCCAGCAGCCGCGGUAAUACAGAGGGUGCAAGCGUUAAUCGGAAUUACUGGGCGUAAAGCGCGCGUAGGUGGUUUGUUAAGUUGGAUGUGAAAUCCCCGGGCUCAACCUGGGAACUGCAUUCAAAACUGACUGACUAGAGUAUGGUAGAGGGUGGUGGAAUUUCCUGUGUAGCGGUGAAAUGCGUAGAUAUAGGAAGGAACACCAGUGGCGAAGGCGACCACCUGGACUAAUACUGACACUGAGGUGCGAAAGCGUGGGGAGCAAAC